rnacentral:rRNA from 1 species
AGCUCCAAUAGCGUAUAUUAAAGUUGUUGCAGUUAAAAAGCUCGUAGUUGAACUUGUGGCCUGGAUGGCUUGGUCUGACGCUUAUGCGUGAGUACCUGCGCCAUCCGACCAUCCUUGGGUGGAACCUGUGUGGUAUUAAGUUGUCGUGUAGGGGAUGUCCAUUGUUUACUGUGAAACAAUUAGAGUGUUCAAAGCAGGCUUAUGCCUUUGAAUAUAUUAGCAUGGAAUAAUGAUAUAGGACUUUGGUACUAUUUUGAUUGUUUGUGCACUAAAGUAAUGAUUAAUAGGGACAGUUGGGGAUAUUAGUAUUUUUAGAUCAGAGGUAAAAUUCUUGGAUUCUUUAAAGACUAACUACUGCAAAAGCAUUUAUCAAGGAUGUUUUCA